rnacentral:snRNA from 1 species
GAUAAAUAAACAAAUCUUUUUAAACAAUCAGACUGAUACUGACAUGGUUGACAUAGCCCCUGCACAAAGAUGUCAUGCAAAUUUGUGCAGCAUUCCAUUAUUUU